AGUAAAAGUCGUAACAAGGUCUCCGUUGGUGAACCAGCGGAGGGAUCAUUAA
rnacentral:rRNA from 1 species